rnacentral:rRNA from 1 species
AGGGUUCGAUUAUGGCUCAGGAUGAACGCUGGCGGCGUGCUUAACACAUGCAAGUCGAACGAAGCACUUUGCUUGAUCCCUUCGGGGUGAUUGCUUUGUGACUGAGUGGCGGACGGGUGAGUAACGCGUGGGUAACCUGCCUCAUACAGGGGGAUAACAGCUGGAAACGGCUGCUAAUACCGCAUAAGCGCACAGUACCGCAUGGUACGGUGUGAAAAACUCCGGUGGUAUGGGAUGGACCCGCGUCUGAUUAGCCAGUUGGCGGGGUAACGGCCCACCAAAGCGACGAUCAGUAGCCGACCUGAGAGGGUGACCGGCCACAUUGGGACUGAGACACGGCCCAA